UUUAUAAACGAUGCAAAAUGAUCCUUGGAUAUUAUGGGAGCCAGCUCCGCAAGGCCAACUUAAGUCGAACAUAGGAAGGGUCGAUUCAUUUGAUGCCAAAAUCCAAGGCGUAAUAUACCAACACCCACGACCUGACGACCUGUACGGUUUGACCACUCCUUCCCCCAAAAAAUAAAAAUAAGAAAAAUAAAACAAUCGAAGAACCACCUCCAUUACUCUCAACUUCUCUCCACUUCUCUCCACUUCUCCAUCUCCACUGCGCACUACUCAAUCUAGAAGAGUAAAUCAGAAGAAAAAAACAACCAAAAUAUACUACCCACCUUAAUUGUUGUCUUGCAAGAUGUUGCAUUCACAUCGAUCUCUUCUUCAUUCAAAGUUCAUCGGAACUGAAAGAUUCAGUCAAAAUUCAUCGGAAAUGAAAGGGUCCCGUGCAACGUCAAACUGUACCAUAGGUAUCAACUUUGUUAAUUUUUUGGUGGUACUACUGUUCAUUUGGCAUGAUAACAUUCCAGCUGAAUAACACUACUGUUGAUCUAUUAUACAACAAAUUAUCUUAAGGUUUGAGGAAUUGCCUUAUGUUGGAUCAAAGUAGCUGAUACAUAUACCUGAGAAAUGCCAAAAAAUUGGUUGGAACUUUUCUCUAAUACUGACCUAUUUUUACUUUUUACCUGCUGCUUUGUUUUGAGGAUUUGUUUGGGAUACAUAAAAUUAUCUGUUUCUAAAGUAGUUUACUGAUAGAUUUUGUCUAAUAAUUAA